AAGAAACAAACGGAGGAGAUGAAGGGGAAGAGAAGGUAAGUUGGCGAGUUCGUUAGUUGUCUUCUUCGAAACCUAACCCAACCACAACUGGGUCUCUUUCUUUGUUUUGUCAUAACCAUGGAGGGUCCUCUCUUUCUCGUUUCUGCGUUUGUCUUCGGACGAAAAUGUUAGACGAAAACGCAGAAACAAACGGAGGAGAUGAAGGGGAAGAGUAGGUAAGUUGGCGAGUUCAUUAGUUGUCUUCUUCAAAACCUAACCCAACCAUAACUGGGUCUCUUUCUUUGUUUUGUCAUAACCAUCGAGGGUCCUCUCUUUCUCGUUUCUGCGUUUUUCCCUUUGUUCUCUCUUGCUCUGCUGAAGAAUGGGACCAAUCUGUGUAAGGAACCGUCACAAGAAAUUU
rnacentral:lncRNA from 1 species